ensembl:snoRNA Gm23910 predicted gene, 23910
ACUGCCCCUAGAGGUUUUGCAGGUGUGGCUGCUGUGUCACAUGUGCAUCAGUAGGAGGCAGAGAGAAGAGAGGCUAUGCCUGUGCUCAGUGUUCUGACCUGUGAACAACUGAAUCAUUAGUAGCCUAACAGU